GGCGAACGCUGGCGGCGUGCUUAACACAUGCAAGUCGAACGGAAAGGCCCUGCUUUUGUGGGGUGCUCGAGUGGCGAACGGGUGAGUAACACGUGAGUAACCUGCCCUUGACUUUGGGAUAACUUCAGGAAACUGGGGCUAAUACCGGAUAGGAGCUCCUGCUGCAUGGUGGGGGUUGGAAAGUUUCGGCGGUUGGGGAUGGACUCGCGGCUUAUCAGCUUGUUGGUGGGGUAGUGGCUUACCAAGGCUUUGACGGGUAGCCGGCCUGAGAGGGUGACCGGCCACACUGGGACUGAGAUACGGCCCAGACUCCUACGGGAGGCAGCAGUGGGGAAUAUUGUACAAUGGGCGGAGGCCUGAUGCAGCAACGCCGCGUGCGGGAUGACGGCCUUCGGGUUGUAAACCGCUUUCGCCUGUGACGAAGCGUGAGUGACGGUAAUGGGUAAAGAAGCACCGGCUAACUACGUG
rnacentral:rRNA from 1 species